rnacentral:lncRNA from 1 species
UGAGUGAUUCUCUGGCGAUAGGAUUUCCACAUGAUUUUAGGAAGGUUCCACUUAGGAAUUCUUAUAUAUAAUAACAGCCCUUUAGACCAUAUGAUUCAAACCACCAAAUUUCUAGGAAAUACAAUGUUUAGCCUAAUUUUAUAGGAAUAUCCUCACGUGCUCAUUUGUUUUCUGAAAAGUAUAAGCAUUUUUCUCUCUCUACUCAGUCUCUUCAUUCCUCAAGAUUUCAAUCUUUAUUACGCACAAUCCAUAACGCACCACUUCCUAUAGGAAUAUACUGAUGUGACAUUUCAAUCUUCCCUUUUUUAUUCAUAUUCAUGUCCUCCAAAUCGAUUGAGAUGUAAUUGCUCAUCGCUCACUUAAAAAGGGGCGCGGGGGGUUGAUAGCAAUAAUUAUCUACGGCUCCUAAUGUUCUCUCCUUUAAAAAAAAGGCAGUUUAGUGUUCUGUGCUUUCUUGUCUAGGAGUUUGCUACUUAUUUUUCAUGUACUCACUCCGGUCCUUUUUACUCCGUAUAUAAGAUUUGUUUUAAGUCAAAUUUUAUAAAAUUUGACAAUAUUUAUAUGAAAAAAUAUCAACAUCUACAAUGUUAAAGUUGUGCAAUAUGAAAAUCAAAUUCAUUACGCAUCUAAUGAUAUAGAUUUCUUAUUGUAAUAUAUCAUUGUGUUGUCCCGCGACUGUAGGUGCUCUAAGAUGUUGUGGGUGGUUUUUGUGUUGUUUGUCUUCCUUCUAUAUUCACUUUGUACUUUUCAUUUUAGUUAGAGUCCUUUCUCAUAGUCUUGGGACUUGUACUUGUCAACCAUGCACUUAAAUAUAAGUAUUUUUAGAGGUUUCACUUAGCCCUACAUUUGGACUUGUACUUCUCAUUUUAGAGUGUAGAUUCACUCAUUUUGUUCCGUAUGUAGUCCCCUAAUAAAAUCUCUAAAAGACAUAUUUAGGAACGAAGAGAGUACAAAACAAAAGAUUAAGUCAUGAUUGAACGUAAAAAAAAUCAUAAAUUUAUUUGCAAGAAACUAAACUUAUGGCAUUGGGGAUCGCACCUUCUGCGUCAAUAGCUCCACACUUGCAUGUCCCUUUUUGUUUGUGGUCCUGGUAGGGAAAAAAGUCAACAUUUGCAGGACAAAAUUUGAUUUUAUACUUUUACAUCUUGAAUAUACACAAAAAGUUCCUGAGAUUUUUAAUUACUAUUAGGUUUUUAUACUUAAAAAACAGCAAUAGGUUACUUUAUAUUUUUAUGGCUUUAUUCCUCGGUUUGUCAGCCGUUGUGCUAAUAAUGACGCAGGUUGUUAUGCAGUUAUGUUUUUUUUGGCAUAAUCAAGAGAGAGAAAGAACAUGCUCAACCAGGAUAAGAAACCGUACCUGUCAAUCAACUGAAAAUUGUUAGCAGCGUUUUGCUUUAUAUCUUCCUGGGACUCUUGUUUUUGAUUUCCACAUAUUUCAUUUGAUGUCGAUGGGAAUGAAUGAUGUAUUUCUAGAGGACCAUACUCUUCCACAACAAUACCUGAUCUUUUUAUGCUGACGUUACUAGGAUGUUUGCCACUGGCGUCCUUGAAUGCCGACUCUGCAGCCUUCAAGUCAUAUUCCUCUGCACCAACAGUUGAACCAAUUAUUCCAGAAAUCUCCUGGACGUUUGAUAGGUGCUCAAUGCCCACAAGCAAACGACCAUACUGUUCUCCUCUGUGAGAAUUGAAACCUAGCUUAAUCCUCUGAAGAUUGGGCAUUGCUCCUUCCUCAAACAUCAGGAGCAGUACGCCACACCUGAACUCAAAAUAUUCUAGAGCAUAAAAUGCUCCAGGUGCGAAGCUGAUUAGUUCUGUAGUUUGUCGCUGGACGAACAAUGUGAGAACAGUGAGGGCUGGCAAUCCUCCCAGGAUAUGGAUAUCAUCCCUUAGCAGUUCACCGACGACAACUUUCAGAAUGCAGAGGUUGUUAAGCUGUCCAAACCACUCGGGGAUUAUACAAAUAGGUGGCAGCAGCUCGAUUGCCAUCACUGAAUUAGGAGGACUGCUUGACUCAUCCAAUAAAAUGGCGGCACUAGGCACAGUGACAUUUCUGAGGAUCCCAGUCACAUCAGGAAGUUCUGUUCCACCUCCGAGACGAAGAUGCAACAAGCUCUGAAGAUGGAAAAGAUCCGAUGGAACAGCUGCUACUCCUGCAUUUAUUUCAAGUGUUUCCAAGUGUUUCAGACCUUGCAUCUGAUCUGGUAGAUGUACGGUGUCGCUGCACGUGACCUGCAAAUAUCUCAACAGAAGCAAUUCAGAUAUACCCCAGAGGUCUACAUCAAUGCUUGGUUGAUCGUCCCAAAUAUGGAGGAUCAGGACUCGAAUAAGCUUAAACUCUGAGAUUAAAGGCAAACAGCUACUCAGUCCAGUAUAAGCAAGCGAUCGAACUUGCGACAGUCCUGUAGUUGUACAUGCUGGUGGGGUUGCAUAUGUUGCACUGCCGAAUUGGAGGGACAGGUGACUAACCUUGUUGGCAAGUCGUAUUGUCCUUUGAGAAUAAUCUAUUACAUUCACAAAAUUCUCCUCUUUGGACUUAGAUGUAAUAAAAUCAUGUACCAAGUGAUGCACUGCAUAGUACAGUAUGCCAUCGCUAUUGUCGACAUCUAUAUCUUGUAUCAGACCCAUACUGACAAGCUUAUCGAAAUAGCUCUGGGCAACUUUCAUUUUGCCAUUAUCUGUUGGAGCACAGAUAAAGCCUUCAACUACCCAUUGCUUUGUUAUAUCUUCCUUCAAGACUUUAUAGUUCUCCGGAUACAUACUGAGAUGCAAUAGACAUGUCUGCAAACAACUACUAAGGCAACUGUAGACAAAAAUGAGUACUUGUUUCAUUAUCUCGUCGGAAGUUGUAUUUGCAGGUAGACUGUUGACUACAAAAUCCUGUACACGAUCCCCAGAGGCCGAUUUGUUGUGCAGUUGUGCCGGGUUGAUGUGACGAUAACUUUGAACGGAAGCUUCUAUUAUUGAAUAGACGAAAUCAUGCACCCCUUUCCAGCGCCCUCUUGUUUGUUCCCUGUUCUCUACUGCAUCUGCUUCCCGUUGGCUUGCUAGAACACUGGCUACGCUGAUAAUUGCUAGUGGUAAACCAGCACAUCUUCUCACAAUCUCAUCUGAGGCUUCAUCAAACUGGCGAUAAUCUUCUUCUCUAGAACCAAGCACUCCAUUGGUGAACAGUUCUUUUGAGUUACUUACGUUAAGAGGUUCCAUCUUAAAUAUGUCCUUGGAUGGAUAACUGCAGCAUGCACGAGCAACAUCCUCGAUUUCCGUCGUCGUUACUAUUCUGCUGCAAUGAUUACCCUCCGGGAAAGCGUCACUAACAACAUCCCAUACUGAUGUAGCCCAUAAGUCAUCAAUUAUAAGAAAGUACCUGACAGUUUUGUUUUUGGUAUUAAAAUAGUGUUUUUUAAGGAAACAGAAAAUUUGCCACAUAAAAGGAUUUUUUAAAUAACAAGGAACAAGAGAUAAAUAACCAGCUAAUAAUUGACUUUGUAGUUGCUUUGGAAAUUUGGCAUGAACAACCAAGUGUAGCUGGAAAAUGCUAACGGAGGACGGGCUCCAUAUGGAGCCCCUAUUCAAUACGUACAAUAUAUAUUCACUGCAAAAAAAGUUAGGAAAAAAUUACGCAUACUCAUAUACCUAUAUACUACGUACCUCCAAUAAUUUAUCUUCAUGCGUGUCAUACAAUUAAAAAGACAAAUAUGUAAAUCAAAAUGGGCUGUUUUUGUGGUGUUGUUGGGCUGAGUUUUUUUUUCACAGAUUACAAAUCACCGUAUUUCUGGACGAAAUUCUAUAGAUUUUUAAUGAAUAUGUACAAGCUUUCAGAUAAAUGUUUUUAUUUUAAUUUUAAAAAUACGGUUUCCAAAAUUUUAAAACAAAGAGGCUCCAUAGAUCCUACCGCUUAAGCUUCACGCUCCAAUUGAUAGUUCCCAACAAUGGAGGAGCGUGCCUAGCCCAAUUGGUUCCUAGACUAGCAAAAUAAUCCGAACCCAUUAGAGGAAGUCUUCAAGCACGCCAAUUUGAAUAUAUGGUGAGGGUUUAUUCUAUGUCUAUUGACCAAAGGUAUUUCACAGGAAUUCCAGACGAUUGUAUGCCAUGGAUACUUUUCCUGUAGAAUUUGUUUCUCUCUAUAGAUUUGGAAGCAAUAGGAGUUCUUUUUACUAUGAUCUUGGAUAGACGACAACAGAAUCAGCUCCUAGGAUGUAAAAAUAGAAAUAUAUGGGACGUUUGAUCUCUGGUGGAUGGCGUAAAUUGUCCAUGUGGGAGCUAUUGGGGGCUCUGUAUAUUUGCGAAAACCCGGUUAGCUUAUAUUGUAGUCUUCCGCUAUGAUUGACUUUGGAUGCAAUUUCAAAUAAUUUUCCAUGAGGGUCAUGUGGAUUUUUUUUCUUCUGAAUGACAAGUAUAUGACGGGUACUUGAAGUUUUCAAGGAUGUUUUUGCUGUUUCUUUACUACUGCGACCACAGAAAUUUCAGUACACCCUUUUUUUUUAUUCACGUAACCUUCAUUGUAUAAUGAUAUCCACUUGCUAUCAUAUUCUGUUUAUGUUACUUCUUAAGCCUAUCAAACAAAAAGCCUAGAUACACUCAAUACAAUUGGACAAUAAAGAAGGAAAGAUCACAAAUGAGUCAACAUAAAUUUGUUGUGCGACUGGGCAUUGAAGACAAAGAGGCAAAUAGAAGCAAUAGCUAUAUGCUGGGUACCAACCACCGGUAGCACCAAAAGUGUAAAAUGAUGAAUAAGUUUGGGAAUUUCGCAUAUACUUGAACAACCACUCUUAGGUGUGUCUCAAUAAGUUUUAAAUGCCAAUAGAAAGAUGGAAAGCAAUUUAUAUCAUUUAAAUUGUGCAAGCAAAGACUUCAAAGAAAAAUAUAUUGCUCAUGACACCAUCUGGAGUUUCAUAGGCCAACCAAUAGAACCUCAAUUGACGGAUAAGAUUGGAAAACUUCACAUCUACUUCAACAGAGGCCCCCGUUGUUCCAUGGUUGUCUGUGCCUCAAAAAGGACAUGAGGGCUUCUUCGAUUGGGAUAUUGGCAAUUCAUAAUUUCCAUUUUGUUCCUGGGAAAAUUGUCAUUGUAUCGAGAGUACAACUUCACUGUAUUAACAAGAAGAAUGUGACGGGUGGCUCACCAUGAGCCUUGAGAAAACCCACCUUUAAGUAGUCUUCAUGGAGUAGGACAAGCCAUAUCAUUAUCCUACCCUUCCUACCUACCACCACCAUGGGUAGCCUUAAUCAUUUGUCAUGCAUCUUUAGCCUAUGCCCAUAUAUGGGCAUGCAUCCUCAUUCACUCAGUACUUGAAUACACUCAAGGGGAUAGCAUUAGAGCCCUGGGAUCAGUAGACUCGAUUCUCAAGAGUUGCAAAUAUAUUCGAUCAACCUCGGUCUAGGGAUCGAGAGAGUGUGAUGAGAAGUCGCAGACCAUUCAGUCAUUGGACAAACCAUCCCUCAAGGUUUCCCUAACAUGGUGCUAGGUCGUGCUUCACCAAGGGAGAACACUAACUUAAAAAAAACAUCAUUGUGUCACUCUUUUUGGUGUAUGGUGACUUCGUUGUAAGGUUUGCAUACGGACCAUCUCCAAAUUCAUUUACAAUUGUGUUAACAAAGAUAACCACCUAGUUGAGACUUGUUUUCAUAACAUGAACAUCAACUAUAGGUCAACCUAGUUGAGAGUUGUUUUCAUAACAUGAACAUCAACUAUAGGUAUUUUUUUCUCCCGUUGCAACACACGGACCCUUUGGCUAUUAAACCUAAGGCAGAGACGCUCGCGGUGGACUCGACCAGGCGGGCGACCGUCCGUAGAUUCAGAGAUAUCUUUUUUUUGGGUUUUGUUUUGUGGGGAGUAGAUGUGCAGAGAUGUUGGCGGCUGAUGCCGGAGACGCGGGUCACGGAUGCGAAGAUGCCGGAGACGCUGGCCAAGCACGUGACGACACCGUCAGCAGACGCGGAGAUAUGCCGGAGGAGAUGCCCUCCGCCUCCUCAAAUUUCCGCCGCCGCAUGUAGAUUCCCACUGCCGCCGGUCCAAUCCGUUUGUGCUGGAGGAAGGGGGUUCCGUGUGCAGGUCUGCUGCUGCGGGUUAAUUUUUUCCAAAAGCGCCUAAACUAGUUAGGGCGGUGCUCUGCGGGCGCGCGUCGGCCGAAACUUUUGAAAAGCAGCACACGGGCUGUUUGAUCCGUUAGAUUGGAUCUGUUUAAUCGUCAGAUAUGUUCAUACAACAAAAAUUCUCGAUGCAUCAAAUUUCGGUCCCGGAUGCAGCAAAAAAAUGAAGAAAGUAUUAAAAAAGGAAACUUACAAAAAUAAAUAUAUGAAUCAAACCCAAGGCCACCAUUUUGACGAGUACUAUCAUCAUACCGUGUGCCCUAUCUCACACAAACACAUCGAUAAAUUCGGCUCACCAAGCCGCCCGCCGCCGAGCCAGACACACCAAUCCAUCUAAUAGACCCUCAACUCGUACCGUAUGUGCACGCUCAAUAAUAUGCCCCCGCCAUCUUUCGUCAUCCCAUCGUUAGGUGUAAUAAAUGCAUUGCCCUUGCCGAGGCUGACAACGCCGAUGAACACGGUCCAGCACCGAGGCCCCACUGUGCCACGCUGUCGUCGAUGAUGAAGAUGCAACACCACUCCAUCUCUCGACCGCUCCAAGUUAACACCUGCUACAGAGCAAUGCUCCUUGAAGGAAGCAUGAGACCAAAGAUACUGCGAUCAUUCGAUCCAGGAGUCUCAUACCUAGGGUUUCCCCGAGCAUAUUGAGCAUGGUGAUGCAACCUGCUAUGACGAUGCCACGAUAAGGAAAUGAUGUCGGAGACACCGCCAUCAUCCGCCAUGACCAAAGUUGGCACAGUUUUCAUCGGAUGUAUCGCCACCUCGAUCUCGCUACUGACUGGAUGCGCGUGGAGCCUCACCAUGAAGAUGUACACCGCCACCAUCGGUGGUCCCUCCAAUCUAAGAUCACUCCUGAACCAAUGCCCUCAAGAUGGACUACGACACAGAAACACCGUCAUCGCUCGAUCCCGAGAAAAUCUAGGAUUUCCCUGUGUCCUCGUGGACCCCGGCACUUCACCCCGAGCAACAUGGCGGCCACCAAAGCCAAUACCGAUUGGGUGUGGCUGUGGACCAGCCCACUCGCAUCCACCCCGUGCAGCAAAACAUGCCUUCCAACGUGUUGCUUCAUCACCACCGCCCCCAACCGUCACCACGCUGUCGCCUCGUGUUCUCGCCAGGAAGCAAUCCGACAUACCAUGGAGACCCAGAUCCAGGAGCACACACUCCCGCUCGUCAAGAUGCCUCGCACCACCCUGCGCCGCGAGUGAACGAUCUUCUCCGCCAAUGCUAUCAGCCGCCCAGGCUUAGCCCGAUGGCGUUCUCCUGCAAUGGCAGGGAGGAGGGAGCGAGUUGUGGCGGAGGGCCUAGAUGUUGGGCUUGGGUGCCGCAUGAGUUUCCCGAGCAAGAGGUCGAGGCGGGGGCGGGUGAAUCGUCUUUCUUUUAAACAAGACUACUUAAUUAAGUAUUUCUUUUAAUAACAAGAUUAACGCAGCAAUGCACGGAUAUAAUCUAGUAUAUCUAAAUUACAGUACAUCCAUGGAAUCAAGAAAGUGAUUUUAUAUUUACCUCGGGAUAUCUAGAUUCGCGUUCUUUCUUUAAACUAGACAAUUCCCAGCACGUUGUUGUAGGAAUUGUUGGCAAUAUGUUUAGAUGAUACUUAUUUAUGUCGAAUGUGAAUAUUACAAUUGACAAUAUGAGCAUGAAAAUACAAAUAUAUGAGACUUAUUAUACUUUCGAAAUAUUUUUGGAAAAGAUGUAUCAUAAUGCGAGUUUAAAAUUCCUUGGAGUUGUUCACACAUGUGUCUUUUUCAUUGAGAAAAAUUUGGACAUGAGUAGUGAGGAUGAACACCCCCCCGGCGUUGUUACGAGAACUUUGUUAAAAACAUGUGUAAGUAGUUGUUAUAAACUUAAAAUCAGUAGAAUAACGUGUCUAAAAAUAAAAUACAAACUUUUAAAUAAGAGUUAAAAAUGUUAUUUCGAAUUAAAAUAUGAAGGAUGACUAACAUGAACAUAUGAUGUGGCAACGUUACAUACAUAGACUAAUGCAAAAAAUAGUUGUAAUUUGUAAGUUAAAUUUAUGUCUUGCUUAUGUGAAAGAUUUUACAUGAAUUAGUGAGAGAAAAUACUUAAAUGCAUUGCUUAGUGGAACGUUGAGGUGUACAUUUUAUAUGUUGAGAGCACUUAUGUGGAACACUUUGCAUGGCUUAGUGGAAGAAAAAAAUUAAAUGCAUUGCCUAGUGCGAUGAUGAGGUGGAUACCUUAUAUGUUCAGAGAAUUGAGACCAACUUUUUAAAAAUGUAAAAUGCAUGACUCCACUAGCAUACAAUUGAAGCGAUUGAAACUACUAGGUAGGUUCUAGAAAAAUGCACCUUUUAUUUUGUAGAUGCUCGUUGAUGUCGUGAAUGAGGUCGUGCACCCCACUAGUGUUUGGUGGUUGGUGGGGACGAACUUGUACCAGUAUGCUCCUGAGGAUCCUCCUCAUGUCAGGUUUCUUGGCCGUCCGCACAAAAGCCCGGCAAUCGAAGUCCCCGAGUUUCUUCUCAAGCCAUAGCUGUUUGGCAAGCGUGGUCUUGCCGAUCCCACCAACACCCACAAUGGAUACAACCUUGAGCUGCUUAUCUCCAUCGGCCAGCCAUUGGCAGAGUGUAUCAACCGCUCCGCCCUUGGCAUGAAGGCCCACUACUGGAUCUGGCUUCCGGCCGCCGUCCGUUGGAAACCAGUGGUCAACGACAGGAAAAAUAUAUGUACGGCUGGGGACAGUCUCAAGCAGGUAUCUAUCAUACCGUUCAUUAGCCGCCUUCACACGAGCCUUGAAUCCGGACAUCUUCUCGAUCCAAUCUGCUUGGGCGACGACACAGUUCUCCAUCUCAUAGGACAGCUCGCGCACAUCCUUCAUCCAGUUUAUUGCUAUAUGGGGAAGGUCUUGUGCCUUAGAGAGCUUCAGCAGCCGGGUUGUGAGUUUCCGGAUGCCAUCCUCAAGUUUGGUAUCCCGGAUUGCAUCUAGUUUCAUAGAAAGGGAGCCCAUGGCACCCAAACAAGCACUAAACAGAGGUAGUUCCAUGUCCAACUCUCUGCACACAAAACAACGAACCAAAUCAACAAGAAAUCACACUAAUAUGACCAGAUAUACUCUAAUUAGUCUGAGGUCCAUGCAAAAUCAGAAGAAACUCUAAACCGUUGCAUCCAGGAGCGAACAGAAAAGAAAGCAGAUCUGUUUCUUCUAGCGUGAAUAAUCCCUGGAUGACGCAUGCGGCGUACCAGUGGGCUUGCUCCUCGUAGCAGACGGGGGAGCCAGGUUAAGGUUGCUCCUCGUAGCAGACGGCGGCGCCAGGUUAAGGUUGCUCCGGCCCGGAACGGCAGAUGUGGAGUGAAAGGAGAGACCAAUUCACGGAAGAGAAGUGGUCAACAUAGAACCAGGCAACGAAUCAAUA